CAGAUGUGAAAUGCCCGGGCUCAACCUUGGGAACUGCAUUUGUGACUGCAUGGCUAGAAGUGUGUCAGAGGGAGAGUAGAAUUCCACGUGUAGCAGUGAAAUGCGUAGAGAUGUGGAGGAAUACCGAUGGCGAAGGCAGCCCCUGGGAUAACACUGACGCUCAUGCACGAAAGCGUGGGGAGCAAACAGGAUUAGAUACCCUGGUAGUCCACGCCCUAAACGAUGUCUACUAGUUGUCGGGUCUUAAUUGACUUGGUAACGCAGCUAACGCGUGAAGUAGACCGCCUGGGGAGUACGGUCGCAAGAUUAAAACUCAAAGGAAUUGACGGGGACCCGCACAAGCGGUGGAUGAUGUGGAUUAAUUCGAUGCAACGCGAAAAACCUUACCUACCCUUGACAUGGCUGGAAUCCUUAAGAGAUUAGGGAGUGCUCGCAAGAGAACCAGUACACAGGUGCUGCAUGGCUGCCGUCAGCUCGUGUCGUGAGAUGUUGGGUUAAGUCCCGCAACGAGCGCAACCCUUGUCAUUAGUUGCUACGAAAGGGCACUCUAAUGAGACUGCCGGUGACAAACCGGAGGAAGGUGGGGAUGACGUCAAGUCCUCAUGGCCCUUAUGGGUAGGGCUUCACACGUCAUACAAUGGUACAUACAGAGGGCCGCCAACCCGCGAGGGGGAGCUAAUCCCAGAAAGUGUAUCGUAGUCCGGAUUGUAGUCUGCAACUCGACUGCAUGAAGUUGGAAUCGCUAGUAAUCGCGGAUCAGCAUGUCGCGGUGAAUACGUUCCCGGGUCUUGUACACACCGCCCGUCACACCAUGGGAGCGGGUUUCACCAGAAGUAGGUAGCUUAACCGUAAGGAGGGCGCUUACCACGGUGGGAUUCGUG
rnacentral:rRNA from 1 species